ensembl:snoRNA SNORA73 Small nucleolar RNA SNORA73 family
GCCACAUGGAUCUUCUGGGAGGCGCUCUCCCCAGGCUCUGUCCAGGUGGCACAGGGAACGAUAGGGUUUUGCCCUGUUACGUACAGUUCCUUUCCACAACGUUGUAGACGCUGCACCUGCGUAUUCCUACAGCUUCUCAGAGUCUUUUGGGCAAUGACUGAGGAGAUAAACCAUGCAGGAAACAAUG